AAAGGCAAUUAAGGUGGCUUUUUUUUUCCUCUCUCCUUAAAACAUUUACACGUUCUCCUUAUUUUCAGCAGUAAUUUCUUUCUAGAAUAAAGGAAACUAUCUCUCCAUUUAAACCGGUAGAGAUUCUCCCAGGUUUAAAAAGGCGUUAAUAUUAGCCAUCUAACACAUUGUUGCUACUUUGAGCUUUCAAGAUCUUUGUUCACCAAAACCGGAGCAUCUCUUUCCAUCUUUGCAAAUAACUGGAAAUGACUUUUCCAGGUCACACUUGCAAUAUUUCUCUGUCCUGAGUGGAAGGUGUGACCAUCUGAGAGCUAAAAUGCUGGAGAAUGGGGAGUACCUUCCCAGAAUACUGGAGAUCCAGUUCCAUUAUAUAAGCAAGGUUGCAGAAGCAUUUCUCACCACUGAUGCUGCUGGGCGAAAGAAAUGAACGUGAUUGAUUAUGACUUUGAUACACCUGAGGAACAGAGAAAAUUCAGUAAACAUCUCUGUGUUUCUGUCUGUCAACAGGAUAGAGGAAUGAAGGGAGUCCAAAUGUCAGUGUGCAUGACUUUUUCUGUUUGGAUGGAUGGGACUUCUGAUCUGACACACCUGUUCCAGUAUCCUGGGCCCAUAAUCAAGUCUUUUUUCUGCGUAAUCAAGAGAGCGGUUAAACAGCUGAGAGUCAUAAAAGAACAGGAAGAAUUUUAAGAUGCAGAGAAAUUAAAUUUGCUCCAGUUUUCAAAGGAUUAAUCCAGCCCUCAUCUCUCCUUUGACAUCUCUUGGCUACAUCCAAAUAGUCGUCUGCCUGUUCUUCCUCCACAAAAUAUGAAGGGAUGUUACUUGGGCUACCUCAUUCCCUGCCGGUUGCUAAUGGAAAAUAGUACUGCUGUGCAGGGAGACUUGUUUUAUAGGUGUUUUUCUUCUAUCUGGUUUUACAGUUCUCUACCGCCACUGUUCAGCAUUCCCUGGAUUGCUCUGCCGUUCUCUGGCCAUCCAUAUAUGUUUUGCAAACUGAGUGACACAAAGGCCUCUAAAAAAGGAAACACCUCUCACGAAACACUUUGCACUGUUCAUUGCUAUUUCUCUUAAGACAGGAGAACGGUUGCCUCCUAUCACCCUUAAGUUCCAUUUAAAAGCUGGUCAAUCCUACUGGAUACACCAGCCUUCCACUGCUCAGUCCUGGUGCCCGCAUAAGGACAGCUUUACAAAAUGAGUACUCCCUUUUCCCCUGCUAGGGCUUGACACACACUUGUAAGAUUAACAGCUAUGGAAUCUAGUGUUGUUUUAUUUUGUCGUCAGUUUUCAGUGAUAUCAUAGUCUUUUCAUUCCAGCACCUUUCACUUCCCAGUCCUUAAACUAAUACACUGAUCCCUAUUACUAAACAAACCAGACUAUAUCACCACCUUUUAAGCUGAGAUGUAGUUUUUCCUCUGUCCUCCUCCUUGUACAUACACUAGGCUGUGCAUAAACAGCAAAGCACAAGAACUUUACAGCAAGCAGUUCCAAGUCUAACUAGGGCCUAGAGUAGUGCCUACCUGAUAGCUGUGUAUAAUUUGAAGAACACUAACUGCAGAAUUUGCAAGUAUUUGAUUUAAAGAAUCUUAUAUUUUUAUUAGUUUUGCAGACUGACCAAAUAUGUUGUACUAUGGUUGAUUUUAUUGUGUAGCUACAUGGCUCUAUGCCCAUUGACUUCAAGCAAUUACAGCACUACUGCUGGAUCACAACAGUGCUAGACUGAAAGAACCACAGUAUGAAAUUUGCAACUACAGUUUAAUCUACUUUAAAAAUAUGAAAUCUAGUAUAGUUAAUAUGCCUAUCUUAAACUAAAAACUUUACCUGGAGAAAAUAAGUAGGUAUUUUUCAGUGCUCUGAUACUGACCUUAUUUUGAAUCAAUAACUCUCUGAUUAUUUUGCACAAAAACAACCAACCAAAAAAAAAAAAAACCAACACAAAACUCCGCUUAACUUAGUAGCAAUGGAGAAACGCAAGUCCAAAGAGAAAAAGCUCUGCCUCAAAUCUGAAGAACAGAAUUGAGAAUCCAUUCUUUUUUCCCCCACCUCUCAACAGAAGUCUGGGCUAGAAUUCUCUCUCUUAUACUUUAUUUAAAGGCCUCUCUGCUCUAUUUGUUUUUCUAGCAUACUGUCCGUAUGGUAAAAACUGUGUGGAAAAAAUAUAGAGAAGAAAGAAUUUGAACAUUACAGGGAAAGGUAUUUGAAAAAAAAAAAAAAUAACAUCUACACAAAACACGAUACAGUUGUGCUGUCUGUUGGGAUUUACCCAUGACUGUCCUUAGAGCCAAGAAAUACCAGAAGAGAGAUACUAUAGCUGGUAUUUGAAAAACUUCACGUACUCUCAGAAAGAUGCAUAUGAAAACAAUGAAAUUGGAAGCUUUUUUUUUUUUUUUUUUUUUAAAUAGGAAGCAGAUUGCCAUUUGGAAAAAUUGCAGUGAGGUUAUUCCAUGUUUCAAUUUCUCUUUGGGUGAUGGGAGGAAAAGUUCACCUUGAAAACCAGAGAGUUUUACAGCAGAAACAGAAGACAGCAGAAAGAACUGAUGUGACAGCUCAGUCUAACAGAAACAAACCCGCCUAUUCCCCUCAGAAACUGCUAGUAAGACAUAAUGCAGUGUCUGCCAGUGAACUGAAUCACUUUAACAUGACUCUCACAUGUCAUUUAUUAAGCUAAAUAGACAUAAAACUGCAAAUAUCAAAUUGCCUCUAUGUGGUAAUACACAAAAAUGAGAAUUAAAUGCAACUUCCCAUCCUGCUCCUGCCUUACAAAUAUUUAUCAGCCAAGAGAAUGAUCUACAAAAGCUUUUUUUUUUUUCAUUCUGCAAAUAUCACAAUAAGACAUUAACCCUUUUAUCACAACAUGCGCAAUAUGCCUUACUAGUACAAUUUCUUCUCUGAAAGAAGAAAGGGCCACAUAACUUUCUCUGCCCAGAUACAACACUGUAUGACAAAAGCCUGGAGGGACUGGGGAUACCCCUUAUCAACACCAUUUUUUUGAGGCUUACAAUUUAUAUGGGAUUUUUUGUUUUUAUUUUGUUUGGUUUUUUUGCUGUUCUGUUUGUUUGUUAUUUACUAAGUUUCCUGGACAAGGAAUGCAUCGGUUUUAAUAAUGCACAUACUAUUGCAAUAUAUAAUUAUCACUAUGAAUAUUGAAAUCUUAACAGUAAUCUGCAGUUAGAGCAUUUUCAGAAGAUACAAAAUCAAAUAAAAGUGUAAUUUCUCUCAAUAAAGAGUGAUUUAUUAUUACCCAGAUUGUGCAGUAGUCAAUUUUACUCAGUUUUACCCGCAAAAGAUGCUAGUGUCUACCUGUUCAGAACACACGCUCCUGCACUUUGAUGUUUUUAAGCAUAUAACUGUAAAUAUAGGAUUUUCCAGCAGUAACUUGGAUGCAAACUUCAGUGAGGAAAAAAAUAAAUUCAG
ensembl:lncRNA